ACCUGUGUGGUUAGAUGCCCUCAGGGGAAGUUGGCAGCUUGCUGGGAUGUGGACUCAGAUAAACCCAGGGUGGGAACUUUUCCUCAAGGAAGGAAAACAUGACCGUCCAGAACAGUGAGUAACUUUUGCAGAUAGCUGUGACUGAAAGCUCUUCCUUCUAUUGAGUCCAAGUAGAUAUUCCUGUACUCUGGGUCCCUUGGUAUUGAUGCAGGCUGGCCCUUCCGAGGACCUGGAGGGAGUCCUGCAGGACCAGCCAAGAGGGCCCUUGGCUUUGCACAGGACAGAAACCCAAGCUAGUGGGAGAGGAAGUGAGAGCAAAGGUUAUUACAUAGCGUAAGUGAUACAACAUAGCAGACGGAACGUCUGGGAGACUCGGAAAGGAAAGAAGAGAGUCUCUCCUUUGCUUGGGGUCUGGGUUAUUGUUGUUUUAAUGUGUUGUUGUGUUUUUUUUUGUUUGUUUUUUUGUUUUUUUUUUUGAGAGAGAGAGAGAGAGAGAAUCCCAAGCAGGAGCCAUGCUGUCAACACAGAGCCCAACAGCCUCAAUCCCACCAACCAUGAGAUCAUGACCUGAGCCCAAAUCAAGGGUCAGACACUUAACCGCUUAACUGACCGAGCCACCUGGGCACCCGGAGGGUCUGGGGUUUUAAUGGAGGGUCGUGGUCUGGUGUACAUGACUUAGGCAUCUCAGGACUGGUCAAAACAAGGACAGGGGCUCAGGCGUCCUCCAGAAGCCCUGGAGCCCGGGGUCUUGGCAUCGAGGUAUCUGGAAUCUGUGGUCUUGGAAAAUGUACCUGACGAUCCUGCUUGGUCACUCCUUGGAUGUUUCUAUCAUGCUGGAUACAUAUCAGACUCGGAGUAUUAUCUGCUCUACGGCAUAGAGAUCCCCGAGGAGAAGAAAAAGCCAUUCAGUGAAGUGCGGUGUCUACGCUGUCCUUUCCACAAAGGAUUCGAAGAGGUCGAAAACACUAGAAUCUGAAUUUCACUGGAUGGUCCAGAAUGGAUGUCAUCUCAUCUUUUCAGGUUAGCUCCGCGAGCGCCAGAGCGCUAGAGACA
rnacentral:lncRNA from 1 species